AUUGAACGCUGGCGGCAGGCCUAACACAUGCAAGUCGAACGAGUGGCGGACGGGUGAGUAAUGUCUGGGAAACUGCCCGAUGGAGGGGGAUAACUACUGGAAACGGUAGCUAAUACCGCAUACCAUCGGAUGUGCCCAGAGGGGAUUAGCUAGUAGGUGGGGUAACGGCUCACCUAGGCGACGAUCCCUAGCUGGUCUGAGAGGCGGACCAGCCAGACUGGAGAUGAGACACGGUCCAGACGCCUACGGGAGGCAGCGGUGGGGAAAAUUGCACAAUGGGCGCAAGCCUUAUGCAGCCGUGCCGCGUGUAUGAAGAAGGCCUUCGGGUUGUAAAGUUCUUUCAGCGAGGAGGCGUUACUCGCAGAAGAAGCACCGGCUAACUCCGUGCCAGCCGCCGCGGUAAUAC
rnacentral:rRNA from 1 species